rnacentral:lncRNA from 1 species
GUUAGAAGUGUGUUCUGAAGAAGUCCAUGGCCUCUAAGCUCUCCAGUUGCUUGAAGCCCAUUAUCAUAACUGAAGAGCCCCCAACUGGAGAAGGAGGAAUCUGUGAUCACAAGUACCUAGAGGAUGGCAGAGCCACAAUAUGGAAGGAGUCUGGGUCCCUGUGUCCACUGCAGAGGAGAGCUGCCUGCUGCCUGCUGCAACCUCAGAUGGUUACAGGAGUGAGAAAUAAACUAUGAUUAUGUUUGAGGCAUUGUACUGCAUCAAAUGUCUUUAUUACAACAGCUAGCAUUACUGUAACUAAUGUCAGUCCUUAACAAGGACAGCCAUAGUCCUUUAAGAAAGAGCCGGAACACAAACUCAGGUCUCUGAAGACAAACCACCAUGCAACGCUGCUUCCAGAGGCCUCACCUCUUUUCUGAUAGAAAAUCCUCUCUAGGUCAUUGACUC